AUCUUUACUUUCACAUAAACAAACACCAAAGUAACAAGUACCAUACCAACUAUACUUCAAAUCUUUAAUCAAAUCAUUAAACACAUAAUCAUAUAGAACAUAACACUUUUACUUCAUAAGUACACAUAAACAUUUCAUAACCCCAAGUAGCACAAAUGAGGGCAUUCUUCAACUUUAACCAUAUCAUAGUCACAUAACCACAUAAUCAUAUAAUCACAUAAU
rnacentral:lncRNA from 1 species